GCCAGGUGUGGUGGUGCACGCCUGUAAUCCCAGCUACUUGGGAGGUUGAGGCAGGGGAAUCGCUUGAACCUGGGAGGCAGAGGUUGUAGUGAGCGAGAUCGCGCCACUGCACUCUAGCCUGGGUGACAGAGGGAGACUUUGUCUCAA
rnacentral:sRNA from 1 species